rnacentral:rRNA from 1 species
GAUGAACGCUGGCGGCGUGCCUAAUACAUGCAAGUCGAGCGAACAGACGAGGAGCUUGCUCCUCUGACGUUAGCGGCGGACGGGUGAGUAACACGUGGAUAACCUACCUAUAAGACUGGGAUAACUUCGGGAAACCGGAGCUAAUACCGGAUAAUAUAUUGAACCGCAUGGUUCAAUAGUGAAAGACGGUUUUGCUGUCACUUAUAGAUGGAUCCGCGCCGCAUUAGCUAGUUGGUAAGGUAACGGCUUACCAAGGCAACGAUGCGUAGCCGACCUGAGAGAGUGAUCGGCCACACUGGAACUGAGACACGGUCCAGACUCCUACGGGAGGCAGCAGUAGGGAAUCUUCCGCAAUGGGCGAAAGCCUGACGGAGCAACGCCGCGUGAGUGAUGAAGGUCUUCGGAUCGUAAAACUCUGUUAUUAGGGAAGAACAAAUGUGUAAGUACCUAUGCACGUCUUGACGGUACCUAAUCAGAAAGCCACGGCUAACUACGUG